rnacentral:lncRNA from 1 species
GGCUGCACCCACAGCAUAUGGAGGUUCCCAUGCUAGGGGUCGAUGGGAGCUGUAGCCACUGGCCAAUACCACAGCCACAGCAACACAGGAUACAAGCCAGUCUGCAACCUACACCACAGCUCAUGGCCACCAAUGCUGAAUCCUUAACCCACUUAGCGAGACCAGGGGUCAAACACACGUCCUCAUGGAUUCUAGUCAGGUUCAUUACUGCUGAGCCACAAGGAUUCCCCUUUUUUCUUUUAGAGGUUUUUCUAUUAUUUGUCUUCCUCUGAUUGAGUUAAGUUACCUUAGCCUUCCUCUUGGAUAUGUUCUUCCUUUUUCCCCCAAAAAAGCUUCCCUCCUCUCUAUCCUCCAACACCAAACCAGCAAACUGUUCUUCAUCCAGUCAGUCUUCCUAAUAAAUACUUUCAUAAUGCCCCAAAAGAGAUUUGGGUGCCUCUUCUCUCGGUUAUUUUUUGCUUAUACUGCCCCCACCCCUGCCAAAGCAUUUUCUAGGUUGUUAAUUGUUGAUUCUCAAAAUGUAGUACAUUGCAAUGCACAGUACUCACUAAAUUCUAAAUUCUUCAAGAACAGAGGUUCUGCCUUACUUGUCUUUGUAAUUCCAGCGCCUAAUAAAUAGUAAGCAAUCAAUAAAUAACUUCUUAAAUAAAUGACUUUUUUAAAGGCUUAUCAGGUGCCACAAUACAGUUAGCAUUUAUGGUGUCCUACCAAGACUUUCUUAUGGACCAGGCACUGUGCCAACAACUUGGCACACAUUCUCUCUGAAUCUUCCUAAAAACCCUGUGAAGUAGGUAGAGUUAAUAACCACCUUUUAUAAAAGGGUAAAGUGAUUUUUAGAGAUACUAAGUAUUUCAGAAUUUGAACUCAAAGUUUGACCUCCAAAGUUUAUGCUCCUAUGCAUUUUAUACUUCAAAGGGAAAGGAUAACAAAUAAAUUGAUGUAAUAGGAUUGUUUCAAGAGAGCGUAUUUAAAUAUUUAAGUUAGGUGUUAUCUACGGUAUCGUAGUGAAGGCUGCUUUGUAAGGCUUCCUAAAAUAUAUAAGCAUAUGCAUGAAAUCUUACAAUCAAGGGUUUUCCUACUUUUGCUGCUUUUGUUCCUCAUGCCUUAGUACAUGCUGUUCUCAAUCUAUCAAGCUCUUACCAACUUAUCCAUCUGUAGAAUUCCAAUCCAUACUUUAAAACUUUGCUAGGGCAUCCCUUUAAACUGGAGGAUUUCUGCCUGGAGAGAUUCACAUCGUAAGUGGUUACUAUUCCUCACAAUUAAUUUAUUAAUGUAUAUUCAUAGAUGAUAUUAUAUUUAUUUACUUACAUGUCUAUCUUCCCUGUUCACUUUGAAUGUUUUCAAAGGCAGAGUCCUUUUCUUCCUCAUCUUCAUACUCCUAGUACUUGUAUAGCAAAAAGCCACAUAUAUAUCAAGUUAUUUAGUAAAAAUAUUGGCUUAUCGAAUUUCUAUGCCUCCCAGUUGGGUUUUCAGUAGAUUUUGAGGUAUUACCUUACCCUAACAGUGGCCAACCAGGCUGUGAAAAAUAUCCAGACUUGCCACUGCCCAUGUUCCUUCCUUCUCAAUGCUUUCCCUUUCUCCACACAUUUCUCCAUACCAUUCCUUUUGGUUGCAAAGCCCUUAUUUCAACCCAGGCUUGCCUCUGCCAAGCCUAUAUUCUGAAUGACCACAAUAUACCUUUGAUGUGCAUCUACUAUGGCUUGGGCUAGAUUUGAAAACACAAACAAGGCAAGCACUUCAUAACCUUGAGGGUAGAUAGACACUAAAAGUAGAGAUAAUCACCUUAUGUGAUGAUAAAAGAUAGAUGUACGUGCCAUUAACUAAGAUGGAGCAAAUUAAUUCUGCUUGAGGAGGAUUAGGAUGAUAUGAUCGAAAGUUACACCUGAAUCAGGACUUGUACCAGGUUCUUUCAGGUUGUGGGGGCGAUGAAAAGGCAAGGCAAGAGGCAUUAUAUACAAGAUAGCACUUGUGUAAAGGCAAGACCUGAAGAAGUACAAUACAAUCUUGAAGAGGAAGCAGUUGGAUGAGCUUCAACACAAUAUAUAAGGGUCUUGAGAGAGUAAUGAGAGAUGAGGCUGGAGGUCCAAGUUGAAGUAAAAGAGUAAAGAUAAAAGGCCCAUGUGCCAGACUGAAUAUUUUAUACAAGCCAAAAUGAAAAGGCACCCCUUAAGGUUUUUAAUCAAGGUCAUGACAUAACUAGAUUUAUGUUUGGGAAAUAACUUCAGCAAAAGAUAGAAUAUGGACUAAAGGAGAGAAAGCUAGAGGUAGUUUUUUUGUUUUUUUUUUUGUUUGUUUUUUUUUUUUGCUUUUUAGAGCUGAACCAUGGCAUAUGGAAGUUCUCAAGCUAGGGGUCAAAUCGGAGCUACAGCUGCCUGCCUACACCAAGAAAUGAGCUAAGGAAGCAGCAACAGGCCUAACAUGAAAAAAAACUGAAAAGAUUUAUGGAUUAAAAAGGAGGCAGAUUCUAUAGGAUCUUGUGACUGGUUGACUAUAGAGGAAAAGGAAGAGGUGGCAGAGGACUCCUGCAUUUCUAACUUGGGAAACGGGGGUGACCAGGGAUGACGCCAUCAAAGACAGUGGAAGAUAUUAAAAGUUUAAUUACAUAAAUGCUGAUUCUGAAGAACCACCAGGACAUACUGUUAACCAGUUACUCUAGGACUUAGUCAUAUGUUGUCAAAUUAACUUCAUGUGUUUAUGUAAGACUUCUCAACCAAUGAUGAAAUCUUGAAGAUCUUUUAUUUUUUUCCCAGCAUCACCAGUAUAUAGAAAGGCUUCAUUAAAACAACAAACCCUU